rnacentral:rRNA from 1 species
GACGAACGCUGGCGGCGUGCUUAACACAUGCAAGUCGAACGGAAAGGCCCUGCUUUUGUGGGGUGCUCGAGUGGCGAACGGGUGAGUAACACGUGAGUAACCUGCCCUUGACUUUGGGAUAACUUCAGGAAACUGGGGCUAAUACCGGAUAGGAGCUCCUGCUGCAUGGUGGGGGUUGGAAAGUUUCGGCGGUUGGGGAUGGACUCGCGGCUUAUCAGCUUGUUGGUGGGGUAGUGGCUUACCAAGGCUUUGACGGGUAGCCGGCCUGAGAGGGUGACCGGCCACAGUGGGACUGGGAUACGGCCCAGACUCCUACGGGAGGCAGCAGUGGGGAAUAUUGCACAAUGGGCGGAAGCCUGAUGCAGCAACGCCGCGUGCGGGAUGACGGCCUUCGGGUUGUAAACCGCUUUCGCCUGUGACGAGGCGUGAGGAACGGUAAUGGGUAAAGAAGCACCGGCUAACUACGU